GCUUAUCCGGAUCAUAUAAUAUUCCAAAAGGGCUGUUGAGUGUUGAGUCAUUUGGCUUAAUAAGAGAGGAAGAGGUAGGGCAACUUAUUCAGACAAUUUCUUUAUCUUGUGAAUCUAGUAUUAAUAUAGCCGAUAAAUUCUUCCCUAUGACAAAUUACACUUUAGAGCAAGCAUCAGCAAGAUUUUAUUCGUUUCGAUGAAAAAAAUAUCGAAGUUGGGAUUUAUGUUACCUGAUAUAUUUCCUUUGUCGAAGUUUCUCCAUUUGAUUACUAUUUACUAAUACAAAUGCUGCACCGGAGAAGAUCCAUAGAAGAACUGAGUGUUCUUGACAGGGGAUGUCAUGAUUUGAAACGCAAUUCGAUAAGAAUGACC
rnacentral:lncRNA from 1 species